GAAGGAAAUAAGGAAAAACAAAGUGAUCCGAUCACGUCGAUUGAUGCGAAGAAACAUUCACGCUCAUUAACCCGCGAUGAUUGACAUAUUUUGCCGAAUCGGAAUCGGUUAGGAAAAUGAAUAUUUAUGAAUGAAAGAAUGACGAAACGGAUGCUAGGAAUACAGGGUUCCACUUGAGAUGCACGUUUCAUUCGCUCGCACGCCUGCAAAAGCACUCAGACAAAUUACGUAAUACGAGAGACCCACAUGAAAAGGUGUAUCAACUGACCAGAGAAAGUUGUACGACAAAACUGUCCCACAUGCAGAUUGAUGCAAAAAUAGGGAUAUCCAUACAUCUUGCUUGGGAUCCGAUACACAUCUACUUUGAUAGCAGUGACAGGUUGUGGGGCAAAAAAUCACCACAGGAAUUUUCUCCCCCUUCCUACAGGCACGAAGUAGAUGGGAGGAAGAACAGGUGCAAGGGCUGUAUAUAUGCAUACAUAGCGGAUGGGCAGGUGACACUCAACCAAGCGUGAAAAGAUCACUUGAGAUAUUUUCUUUUCUUUGUUCCUUGUCUGAAAGUCUGAGAAGCCCGAGCCAAAAAAUUACUCACUGGCAUUCGUUCAUGAUUUCUUCCUGCGUCCUGACCUGGACAGGAGCAAGGGACUCGACAUCUGUGCCAUAAUCCCUGAAGCACGAUGUUAUUUUUUCAUCAAAAGUGUUGACAAGGUCCUCAAGACUCCCACUGAACGGGCUGAAGGUUCCUUCUUGUAAUAUGUCAGUUCCGUUGCCAUGUGUUGCAGUCACGGAUUCGUUGGCGUUGAGAUUUUCACCAAAACUAGCUUCGAGACUGGCAUCCAAAAGUUGCUCUGCAAGGAAUGGUCAAAGUUUAUCAGCGGAAGUGUAACGUGUGGAGGUUUUGUAGAUAAACUUCAACAGGAGGUGAUAAUAUUAGAGAUAACGGCUGACCCGGUGCAGCAACAGCAGUUACGGUAGCUUG
rnacentral:misc_RNA from 1 species